rnacentral:rRNA from 1 species
GAUGGGGAUGCGUUCCAUUAGAUAGUAGGCGGGGUAACGGCCCACCUAGUCUUCGAUGGAUAGGGGUUCUGAGAGGAAGGUCCCCCACAUUGGAACUGAGACACGGUCCAAACUCCUACGGGAGGCAGCACUGAGGAAUAUUGGUCAAUGGGCGAGAGCCUGAACCAGCCAAGUAGCGUGAAGGAUGACUGCCCUAUGGGUUGUAAACUUCUUUUAUAAAGGAAUAAAGUCGGGUAUGGAUACCCGUUUGCAUGUACUUUAUGAAUAAGGAUCGGCUAACUCCGUGCCAGCAGCCGCGGUAAUACGGAGGAUCCGAGCGUUAUCCGGAUUUAUUGGGUUUAAAGGGAGCGUAGAUGGAUGUUUAAGUCAGUUGUGAAAGUUUGCGGCUCAACCGUAAAAUUGCAGUUGAUACUGGAUAUCUUGAGUGCAGUUGAGGCAGGCCGAAUUCGUGGUGUAGCGGUGAAAUGCUUAGAUAUCACGAAGAACUCCGAUUGCGAAGGCAGCCUGCUAAGCUGCAACUGACAUUGAGGCUCGAAAGUGUGGGUAUCAAACAGGAUUAGAUACCCUGGUAGUCCACACGGUAAACGAUGAAUACUCGCUGUUUGCGAUAUACGGCA